UAACACAUGCAAGUCGAGCGGCAGCGGGAAGAAGCUUGCUUCUUUGCCGGCGAGCAGCGGACGGGUGAGUAAUGUCUGGGGAUCUGCCCGAUGGAGGGGGAUAACUACUGGAAACGGUAGCUAAUACCGCAUAACGUCGCAAGACCAAAGUGGGGGACCUUCGGGCCUCACACCAUCGGAUGAACCCAGAUGGGAUUAGCUAGUAGGUGGGGUAAUGGCUCACCUAGGCGAUGAUCCCUAGCUGGUCUGAGAGGAUGACCAGCCACACUGGAACUGAGACACGGUCCAGACUCCUACGGGAGGCAGCAGUGGGGAAUAUUGCACAAUGGGGGAAACCCUGAUGCAGCCAUGCCGCGUGUGUGAAGAAGGCCUUCGGGUUGUAAAGCACUUUCAGCGGGGAGGAAGGCGAUGGUGUUAAUAGCGCCAUCGAUUGACGUUACCCGCAGAAGAAGCACCGGCUAACUCCGUGCCAGCAGCCGCGGUAAUACGGAGGGUGCGAGCGUUAAUCGGAAUUACUGGGCGUAAAGCGUACGCAGGCGGUCUGUUAAGUCAGAUGUGAAAUCCCCGGGCUCAACCUGGGAACUGCAUUUGAAACUGGCAGGCUAGAGUCUCGUAGAGGGGGGUAGAAUUCCAGGUGUAGCGGUGAAAUGCGUAGAGAUCUGGAGGAAUACCGGUGGCGAAGGCGGCCCCCUGGACGAAGACUGACGCUCAGGUACGAAAGCGUGGGGAGCAAACAGGAUUAGAUACCCUGGUAGUCCACGCUGUAAACGAUGUCGAUUUGAAGGUUGUGGCCUUGAGCCGUGGCUUUCGGAGCUAACGCGUUAAAUCGACCGCCUGGGGAGUACGGCCGCAAGGUUAAAACUCAAAUGAAUUGACGGGGGCCCGCACAAGCGGUGGAGCAUGUGGUUUAAUUCGAUGCAACGCGAAGAACCUUACCUACUCUUGACAUCCAGAGAACUUGGCAGAGAUGCCUUGGUGCCUUCGGGAACUCUGAGACAGGUGCUGCAUGGCUGUCGUCAGCUCGUGUUGUGAAAUGUUGGGUUAAGUCCCGCAACGAGCGCAACCCUUAUCCUUUUUUGCCAGCGAUUCGGUCGGGAACUCAAAGGAGACUGCCGGUGAUAAACCGGAGGAAGGUGGGGAUGACGUCAAGUCAUCAUGGCCCUUACGAGUAGGGCUACCCACGUGCUACAAU
rnacentral:rRNA from 1 species